rnacentral:rRNA from 1 species
UACGUAGGGUGCAAGCGUUAAUCGGAAUUACUGGGCGUAAAGCGUGCGCAGGCGGUUCGCUAAGACCGAUGUGAAAUCCCCGGGCUUAACCUGGGAACUGCAUUGGUGACUGGCGGGCUAGAGUAUGGCAGAGGGGGGUAGAAUUCCACGUGUAGCAGUGAAAUGCGUAGAGAUGUGGAGGAACACCGAUGGCGAAGGCAGCCCCCUGGGUCAAAACUGACGCUCAUGCACGAAAGCGUGGGGAGCAAACAGG